rnacentral:lncRNA from 1 species
AUUAGAAUAAUCAAAAAUAUAUCUUAAAUAAAUCUCAACCAAAUUUUAAUUUAAUCUUCAUUGAAAUUCUAAUGGAUUUCAAUCGAAUUCUAAACAAAUCCUAAAUUCUAAAUCUUAAAUCCUAAACCAAAUCCUAGAAAAAUUCUAAAUCCUAAAUCAAAUCUUAGAUAAAUCCUAAAUCAUAAAUCAAAUCCUAAAUCCUAAACCAAAAUCUAGAUAAAUCCUAAAUAAAUUCUAAAUCUUAAAUCAAAUCCUAAACAAAUCCUAAACAAAUCCCAAGUCCUAAAUCAAAUCCUAGACAAAUUCGUAAUUCUAAAUAAAAUCUUAAAAGAAUCCUAAAUUUUAAAUCAAAUUCUACACAAAUCCUAAAUCAAAUCCUUAACCUUAAAUCAAAUUCUAGACAAAUCCUAAAUUCUAAAUCAAAUUCUAAAAAAAACUUAAAUCCUAAAUCAAAUCUUAGACAAAUCUUAAAUCUUAAACCUUAAACCAUAUCUUAAAAAAAUCCUUAAUUCUAAAUCAAAUCCUAGAAAAAUCCUAAAUCCUAAAUCAAAUCCUAAACAAACCUUAAAUCCUAAAUCAAAUCCUAAAUAAAUUCUAAAUCUUAAAUCAAAUCCUAAAUAAAUCUUAAAUAAAUCCUAAAUAUUUUCUAAAUCUUAGAUCAAAUCCUAAACAAAUCCUAAAUCCUAAAUCAAACCCUAAAUAAAUCCUAAAUCCUAAAUCAAAUCCUAUAAAAAUCUUAAAUCUUAAAUCAAAUCUUAACUCUAAACCAAAUCCUAA